GAUGAACGCUGGCGGCGUGCCUAAUACAUGCAAGUAGAACGCUGAAGGAAGGAGCUUGCUCUUUCCGGAUGAGUUGCGAACGGGUGAGUAACGCGUAGGUAACCUGCCUGGUAGCGGGGGAUAACUAUUGGAAACGAUAGCUAAUACCGCAUAACAGUAGAUGUUGCAUGAUAUCUACUUAAAAGGUGCAAUUGCACCACUACCAGAUGGACCUGCGUUGUAUUAGCUAGUUGGUGAGGUAACGGCUCACCAAGGCGACGAUACAUAGCCGACCUGAGAGGGUGAUCAGCCACACUGGGACUGAGACACGGCCCAGACUCCUACGGGAGGCAGCAGUAGGGAAUCUUCGGCAAUGGACGGAAGUCUGACCGAGCAACGCCGCGUGAGUGAAGAAGGUUUUCGGAUCGUAAAGCUCUGUUGUAAGAGAAGAACGAGUGUGAGAGUGGAAAGUUCACACUGUGACGGUAUCUUACCAGAAAGGGACGGCUAACUACGUG
rnacentral:rRNA from 1 species